rnacentral:rRNA from 1 species
AUUUUAAGCUUCCUCGGGAGGCUGCAGUGAGGAAUUUUCCGCAAUGGGCGAAAGCCUGACGGAGUAAUACCGCGUGAGGGAAGAAGGUCUGUGGAUUGUAAACCUCUUUUGAUUGGGAAGAAACCAUGACGGUACCAAUCGAAUCAGCCUCGGCUAACUCCGUGCCAGCAGCCGCGGUAAUACGGAGGAGGCAAGCGUUAUCCGGAAUUAUUGGGCGUAAAGCGUCCGUAGGUGGUUUGAUAUGUCUGUUGUGAAAGCGUGGAGCUUAACUCCAUAGACGCGAUGGAAACUAUCAGACUAGAGGACAGUAGGGGCAGAGGGAAUUCCCAGAGUAGCGGUGAAAUGCGUAGAGAUUGGGAAGAACACCGAUAGCGAAAGCACUCUGCUGGGCUGUUACUGACACUGAGGGACGAAAGCUAGGGGAGCGAAAGGGAUUAGAUACCCUUGUAGUCGAAUUC